AGGGUUCGAUCAUGGCUCAGGAUGAACGCUGGCGGCGUGCUUAACACAUGCAAGUCGAACGAACCUUCGGGUUAGUGGCGGACGGGUGAGUAACGCGUGAGAAUCUGCCCUCAGGAGGGGGAUAACGGUUGGAAACGACCGCUAAUACCCCAUAUGCCUAUUGGUGAAAUGAAUUUCGCCUGAGGAUGAGCUCGCGUCUGAUUAGCUAGUUGGUGAGGUAAUGGCUUACCAAGGCUUCGAUCAGUAGCUGGUCUGAGAGGAUGAUCAGCCACACUGGGACUGAGACACGGCCCAGACUCCUACGGGAGGCAGCAGUGGGGAAUUUUCCGCAAUGGGCGAAAGCCUGACGGAGCAACGCCGCGUGAGGGACGAAGGCCUCUGGGCUGUAAACCUCUUUUCUCAAGGAAGAAGAUAUGACGGUACUUGAGGAAUAAGCCACGGCUAAUUCCGUGCCAGCAGCCGCGGUAAUAC
rnacentral:rRNA from 1 species